UACAGAGGUCUCAAGCGUUGUUCGGAUUCAUUGGGCGUAAAGGGUGCGUAGGUGGCGUCGUAAGUCGGGUGUGAAAUUUCGGAGCUUAACUCCGAAACUGCAUUCGAUACUGCGGUGCUUGAGGACUGGAGAGGAGACUGGAAUUUACGGUGUAGCAGUGAAAUGCGUAGAGAUCGUAAGGAAGACCAGUGGCGAAGGCGGGGCUCUGGACAGUUCCUGACACUGAGGCACGAAGGCCAGGGGAGCAAACGGG
rnacentral:rRNA from 1 species